AACGGAAAAGGGCCAAAAAUACCC
rnacentral:miRNA from 1 species